UUUUUUUCGAAUAUUUCGUGACGAGUGGAAAAGAAAAAUAAAAAUUUGGAGAUAAUCCGUGUUGUAUAUAAGAGUUGGCGAUAAUAUCGGUGGAGAUAUUUUGUGAUAAAAAGGAGAGAGAGAGAGAGAGAGAGAAGCGAUAAGAGAGAGCGUGUAUAGGAUCGUUAUUUGAACGAUGACGAAGUUAUUAAAUAAAUAACUCGAAGCUUCGUAUCAGAGUUUUUCGAGUACGUUUUCCACGAAAUAUACUCGUUAAUGGAUUAAACGUUUUUCCAUAAGAUGUAUGAUUGAAAGAUCGAGAUUGGGAAUUGUAUCGGAAUGGGAAUCUAUCUGUUUCCCUUCACAAAUGUACUACGUGAUUGCUAUAACAUUUCGACGAAAAAGAUUCUUUAUAUAUCUAAUGAGGAAACAGAGAGAGAGAGAGAGAGUUUUUUUUAGUUUCUCAAAGUGUACAAAUUUUCUUACGAAAAGAAAUUAUUUUCCUGCAUCGUGAUACAGGAUAAGAAGUUACCUUCCAAUUUCACUGGAAAUAAGAUAAGAAAUAUAUCUCCGUCUCUUACGUAACCAUAAAAGAGUGGAAAAAGAGGGGAAGUGAGAAUUGGCGAAAAAUAUCAAAAAUAUUCCACGAUCGUGUGACCAUUUAUCAGACUCAUCGUAUUGGCGCGAAGAAUCGAGAAGGAAGAGCGGCCGGUGUUCGAAAGGUGGCCGUCGAUGGAAUUCGUGCAGAAUCCGUGGCCUCAUAAUCCUCCAUCGACGAGUUUAUGAAGAUAUUGCACGGAUGCAAAAGAAGGCGGUUGUAAAGGGAGCAAAAAUAUCUUGGCGAAGGGAACAAUGAAGAGAAAGAGAGAGAGAAAGAGAGAGAGAGAGGUCCGGAUCUCGUUAUCACAGAGAGGUUGCAGCCACAUCUUUCACACUUGGCUCGGUCGACAAUUGACCAGCGGCAAGAAUAAAGGAUGGAACAAGGCGACGUCAUUUCUGGCUUCGCAUUAAGGAUAGCUGAUGCAAGGCCAAGUGUCAAAGGACGUUGAAGAGUGGCGGAAGGGAUGGUGGGAGUGGAGGGUGAUUUUCGAGGGCCCGACGUAAUUGCCGGAGGGAUAGCGAGGGGAAGCGAGGCGAAACCCGUCCGAUUCGAGCGGGACGGAGCGAUCGAAGCGAGAGGAGGUCGAAAGAGGAGGAGGAGGAGGAGGAGGAGAGUGGAUUCGGCCGAGGGAGGCUGGAGCCCUCUCCCGGUUUCGGGAGGGGUUUGACGGCGAGGGGAUGACGGGCACGGAGGGGGAGGAUGGGAGGAAAGCCAUUCCAUCGCUGACAGAUGCAUUUGCCAAAGCGUUGCGGACGUUUCUGCCUCGUUCUACGUCGUCACGCGGCUUGUCGUUAUUAUAGCGCAUUUUUAUUUUUUAGCCGCUGUUACCCCUCCCCCCGCCCCGCGGAAAAUCCUAAUGCUACUCGUUUGGAAUAAUCGAGGAAUUUAUUUCGUGGACGUUUUCGUGAAAUAACGCGACGGAGAGAGAAAAAGAGAGAGAGAGAAAGAUUUCUUCUUUCUCUUUUUUCCUCGAGGAUAAUGUUUAAUAAAUGAUCUAGUAUUUUAACUUUACUAUUUUAUGAAUGAAAGUAAGGAGAGUAACCACGUGUUCGUAUGUAUGGAAAAGUUACAUUCUCUAAAUUACAUUCUCUUAAAUUUUUGUGUUACUUUAAUGUCCAGGUGAAAAAAAUGUUUAAACCACUUUGAGAAACGUUUCACACGCUGAUCGAUGGGAAAACUCGAACGAGCGAAACAUCUCGAUCGAGCAAAAUUUCAUUUUCGCAUCGCUGAUCAAAAACGUUCCACCUCCCCUUCCCGCUAGGCAAAAAAAUGUUCGUCGAAAAAGAAUUUUCUCGCGCGUAUUUUCACGCGCUCCGCUCGCUCGCACCGAUUAAUUAUCUGUUAAUUGCCACUAAUUAGGGGAAAUAAUGAGAUGGCGGAAGGCGGGUGACGGUGGUAAGCAAGCAGGUGGAGGGCAACAACAGGAGGAGAGACGGAAGCUGGUCAAAGCUGGAGCGGAGAAGGGUGAUUUAGUGAGGGAACAGCAGGCGGCGCCCGAUUAUUUUUGGUUUCACCGGUGGCGGCCAUUAUUUUUGGUCUGCCGCCCGGCCGCAGCUUCGACUCUCUUCUCCUCGCCCGGCCAGAAAUUCAUUCGUGGCCGAGCUCGAAGCGCGCAAAAAGCUCGCUGCACUUUGGCCGAAAGUUGAAACACGUGACGAUUUCGUAGAUUUCGUAGAAUUCUCCAACUGACAUCGUUCACCGAGACGAACUCGGGUCGGGUCGAGCAAUUUUCCUCGAAUACCGCGUCGAGCACGCUGGAAUGUUAUCGUUCGAAAUUGGGUCUCCGUGUUUUCGCGCUCGAGAAAUUUUAAUUUUAAUUUUGUCCACGCUUCGAUGCUUUCGAUCGAUUUUCCGGCGAUGGUGUCAAUUGCGUGUUUCAUUCAAACACGCCACGAUGUUGUUAGAAAGCGAAUCCGUAUUUCGAAUAUUGCACGAAAUUAAGCUCGUUUCCGAUAUUUUGAUCCGCUUCGAUCUGCUUUCCGUGUUAAAAAUCGUAUUGAAUUUUAUCGAAAAUUAACGCUGGACCAGAUCCGAAUUCGAACUCCAAGAAACGCGAUGCAUUCUUAAAAUAAAGAAACAAGUGUGAUGGAUGUAACAUAAGGAAUUAACACAUUCGUGAAAAAUCGAUAAAAGUCACGUAUACGUGAUCAAUCAUAAUUAUCAUUUCCCUCGUAUCUCUUCGCCUUUUUUUUUUCAAAGGCACGUGCCCCCUCCCCUCUCCCUUCGCGUUGAAGAGCGAAACACGGGAGGCGGAAAAAGGGGAGAAGGAGGAGCAGGAUUACGUUUCGAAGCUGAUAACUUAUGAAGUUGAAUGACAGACAGGAUAUCAGUGGCGCGGUGUAGAAGAACGGAGUUGCCGUUAGUUUGUGAAAAAUGAAAUAAAUGAUGGAGAAGCGAGGCCCUUGACUGGUACUCCUCCACCGGUACCGGCCCCGUCAGACGUUUUUAUUAAUUCCUCUCAGAUACAAUUAGUUGGUCUAUUCGUCAGACGCGUUUCAUUAAGUUCCCCUUUCCAUCCUUCUUCCAUCCUCUCCUUUCCGGACCUUUCUUUACCCCUUUCCUCUCUUCCUGUCUCGCGCGUUUCAUCCCUCUCCUCGAGGGAGAACGAAAACGGGCAACGGGGAAGAAGAAAGAAGAAAUUUCCCCCAGCUUCUCAACGCGAUACACGGGACAUGUAUUCCCGAGAAACGAUUAAUUUCCUAAUGGUGCCCCCUCCGUUUCCGGAAAUGAUAUUUGUUAACGAUCCAAUUUCGAAGAGCUCUUCCUAUUCGACACGAAAGACGGAAUGCAUUGAUAGAAUAUUCUAUCCUUAUAAAAAGUAUCGUGUAGA